rnacentral:rRNA from 1 species
GAUGAACGCUGGCGGCGUGCCUAACACAUGCAAGUCGAACGGAGUCCAGCCUUUAAGACCUUCGGGUCAAAGAGGGGAAGACUGAGUGGCGGACGGGUGAGUAACACGUGGGCAACCUGGCUCAUAGAGGGGGAUAACAGAGAGAAAUUUCUGCUAAUACCGCAUAAGCACACACUGCCGCAUGGCAGAGGGUGAAAAGAGAAUCGCUAUGAGAUGGACCCGCGUCUGAUUAGCCAGUUGGCAGGGUAAGAGCCUACCAAAGCGACGAUCAGUAGCCGAUCUGAGAGGAUGAACGGCCACAUUGGGACUGAGACACGGCCCAAACUCCUGCGGGAGGCAGCAGUGGGGGAUAUUGCACAAUGGGGGGAACCCUGAUGCAGCGACGCCGCGUGAGUGAAGAAGUAUUUCGGUAUGUAAAGCUCUAUCAGCAGGGAAGAUAAUGACAGUACCUGAAUAAGAAGCCCCGGCUAACUACGUG